UACAGAGGUGGCAAGCGUUGUUCGGAAUUACUGGGCGUAAAGGGCUCGUAGGCGGCCAACUAAGUCGGACGUGAAAUCCCUCGGCUUAACCGGGGAACUGCGUCCGAUACUGGAUGGCUUGAGUUUGGGAGAGGGAUGCGGAAUUCCAGGUGUAGCGGUGAAAUGCGUAGAUAUCUGGAGGAACACCGGUGGCGAAGGCGGUUCUCUGGGCAUGACCUGACGCUGAGGAGCGAAAGCAUGGGGAGCGAACAGG
rnacentral:rRNA from 1 species